rnacentral:rRNA from 1 species
AGCAGCAGCCGCGGGAAAACGAAGGGUGCAAGCGUUACUCGGAAUUACUGGGCGUAAAGCGUGCGUAGGUGGUGGUUUAAGUCCGUUGUGAAAGCCCUGGGCUCAACCUGGGAAUUGCAGUGGAUACUGGGUCACUAGAGUGUGGUAGAGGAUAGUGGAAUUUCCGGUGUAGCAGUGAAAUGCGUAGAGAUCGGAAGGAACAUCUGUGGCGAAGGCGACUAUCUGGGCCAACACUGACACUGAGGCACGAAAGCGUGGGGAGCAAACAGGAUUAGAUACCCCCGUAGUCCCUGUCUCUUAUAA